UCUGGUUGAUCCUGCCAGUAGCAUAUGCUUGUCUCAAAGAUUAAGCCAUGCAUGUCUAAGUACAAGCCUAACUAAGGUGAAACCGCGAAUGGCUCAUUAAAUCACACCUAAUCUACUGGAACGUUAACAGUUACUUGGAUAACUGAGGUAAUUCUUGAGCUAAUACAUGCGAAAAACCGCGACUCACGAAGCGGUGCUUUUAUUAGAUCAAAACCAAACGGCUUCGGCCGUCCACCUGGUGACUCUGAAUAACUUUGGGCUGAUAGCAUUGCCUAGCGCAGGCUACGUUUCCUUCGAAGGUGUGCCCUAUCAACUUUCGACUGUGAUAUAGACGCUCACAGUGGUUUUGACGGGUAACGGGGAAUCAGGGUUCGAUUCCGGAGAGGGAGCCUUAAAAACGGCUACCACAUCCAAGGAAGGCAGCAGGCACGCAAAUUACCCAAUGGUCGAAGACCGAGGUAGUGACGAAAAAUAACAAUACCAGACUCUUCCGAGGCCUGGUAAUUGGAAUGAGUACACUUUAAAACCGUUCCCGAGGAUCUAUUGGAGGGCAAGUCUGGUGCCAGCAGCCGCGGUAAUUCCAGCUCCAAUAGCGUAUAUUAAUGUUGUUGUGGUUAAAAAGCUCGUAGUUGGAUUUCGGCGGGCAGUCCCGGGUCCCUAUCGCUAGGGCACUCGGGAUUUCAGCCCGUGUGUGUUUGACGGAAUCUCAGCGGUGCUCUUGAUCGGGUGUCGUUGGGGACCGUCAGUUUUACUUUGAAAAAAUUAGGGUGCUCAAAGCAAGCUAUUAUCGCUUGAAUAUUCGUGCAUGGAAUAAUGGAAUAGGACGUCGUUUCUAUUUUGUUGGUUUUCGGAGAUCGACGUAAUGAUUAACAGGGAUAGUCGGGGGCAUUCGUAUUCAAACGACAGAGGUGAAAUUCUUGGACCGUUUGAAGACGAACUACUGCGAAAGCAUUUGCCAAGGAUGUUUUCAUUAAUCAAGAACGAAAGUUAGAGGUUCGAAGGCGAUUAGAUACCGCCCUAGUUCUAACCAUAAACGAUGCCAGCUAGCGAUCCGUCAGCGCUUCAUCGUACGGCCUGACGGGGAGCUUCCGGGAAACCAAAGCUUGUGGGUUCCAGGGGAAGUAUGGUUGCAAAGCUGAAACUUAAAGUAAUUGACGGAAGGGCACCACCAGGAGUGGAGCCUGUGGCUUAAUUUGACUCAACACGGGAAAUCUCACCAGGCCCGGACACC
rnacentral:rRNA from 1 species